ACGAAGCAAAAAUAUUGGUGAGGGACAGCGAGAUGAAUCUUCCUGAUGAUGGAUAGUCUGUGAUGACUUUCCUGAGAAUCAGGAACAAAAGAAGAUCACAAACCCACCAUUAUUUCCAGGGCUGUUUCAAGGUCUUGUUUUUGCAUGGAAUCAGUGCGAAUACUUCAUUGUGUCAAGUCACUGUGGUCCAGGAUGCUUCAGUCAUCGCCCUGCCAGCCUGAAGGGAUUCAUUUUCUGAAGAGUGCCAAGGAGGUUGGAGAGUAUUCUGAGGUAGCCAGUGCCGGGGGACACCUGAAUCUGCUGCAUGGGCUUUUUGCUCAUACCGAAAGGAUUUCAAUUGUGCUGUACAAAUUUAAUCAAACCUAAAUUUUUAAGCCUUAUUAAGAAGCUGCACUGUCUCUUUCUGCUCCUUCAUCUUCCCUCCUCCCAAAGAAAAGAUGAAGAAGGUGCUCAAGAUCCACAUGUCAGAUGAAACAACUGUCUACAAAUGGCAAAAAUAAUGAGAUCUUUCACCUCGCUGCUUGUGUUUUUUUUUUUUUUUUUUUUUUGUAACCAGUAUGUGGUCCUGAUGUCUAAAAUUAUAGGCAUUUAGAAUGUCAGGUAGCAGGAAAAAGAAAAAGAGGUAUUGUAGUAAGGUAGCAAAGAACUGGUGUCUUGCUGAUAGUUGUAAGGUCUUUUAUUCCUUAAAAAUAGCAUAGCUUUAUAAACUUGUUAUCAUACCUGAUAGAAAAUAAAGGGCUGCUGAUAUUUUGCA
rnacentral:lncRNA from 1 species